UAUUGAUUGCAUAUAAUUGCAAAAAAAAGAAAACAUUCUACAUUGUGUCAAGUUUUAUAUAAAAACGCAGGCCCUCCCGGCAAAGGGAGGACCCACGCGGUGAUGCACAAAAGGGGUGAGAUGGAUUGUGUGAGAGGGCUUAGGCGUGCACAACCUUUAAAGGUCAGCGACAGCCCUUACACCUCUGUUAUACGAUAAUGAUCCUUCCGCAGGUUCACCUACGGAAA
rnacentral:misc_RNA from 1 species